rnacentral:rRNA from 1 species
UGGGUGGAUUAGUGGCGAACGGGUGAGUAACACGUGAGUAACCUGCCCUUAACUCUGGGAUAAGCCUGGGAAACUGGGUCUAAUACCGGAUAGGAGCGCCUACCGCAUGGUGGGUGUUGGAAAGAUUUAUCGGUUUUGGAUGGACUCGCGGCCUAUCAGCUUGUUGGUGAGGUAAUGGCUCACCAAGGCGACGACGGGUAGCCGGCCUGAGAGGGUGACCGGCCACACUGGGACUGAGACACGGCCCAGACUCCUACGGGAGGCAGCAGUGGGGAAUAUUGCACAAUGGGCGCAAGCCUGAUGCAGCGACGCCGCGUGAGGGAUGACGGCCUUCGGGUUGUAAACCUCUUUCAGUAGGGAAGAAGCGAAAGUGACGGUACCUGCAGAAGAAGCACCGGCUAACUACGUGCCAGCAGCCGCGGUAAUACGUAGGGUGCGAGCGUUAUCCGGAAUUAUUGGGCGUAAAGAGCUCGUAGGCGGUUUGUCGCGUCUGUCGUGAAAGUCCGGGGCUUAACCCCGGAUCUGCGGUGGGUACGGGCAGACUAGAGUGCAGUAGGGGAGACUGGAAUUCCUGGUGUAGCGGUGGAAUGCGCAGAUAU